rnacentral:rRNA from 1 species
UACGGGGGGAGCAAGCGUUGUUCGGAUUUACUGGGCGUAAAGGGCGCGUAGGCGGCCACCGCAAGUCGACUGUGAAAUCUCCGGGCUUAACCCGGAAAGGUCAGCCGAUACUGCGGGGCUAGAGUGCAGAAGGGGCAACUGGAAUUCUCGGUGUAGCGGUGAAAUGCGUAGAUAUCGUAAGGAAGACCAGUGGCGAAGGCGGGUCUCUGGACAGUUCCUGACGCUGAGGCACGAAGGUCAGGGGAGCAAACGGG